rnacentral:rRNA from 1 species
UACGUAGGGUGCAAGCGUUGUCCGGAAUUAUUGGGCGUAAAGGGCUCGUAGGCGGUCCAUCGCGUCGGGAGUGAAAGCCCGGGGCUCAACCCCGGAAUGGCUUUCGAAACUGCUGAGCUAGAGUACAGAAGGGGCAACCGGAAUUCCCAGUGUAGCGGUGAAAUGCGUAGAUAUUGGGAAGAACACCUGAGGCGAAGGCGGGUUGCUGGGCUGAUACUGACGCUGAGGCGCGAAAGCCAGGGGAGCAAACGGG